GACGAACGCUGGCGGCGUGCCUAAUACAUGCAAGUAGAACGCUGAAGAGAGGAGCUUACUCUUCUUGGAUGAGUUGCGAACGGGUGAGUAGCGCGUAGGUAACCUGCCUUGUAGCGGGGGAUAACUAUUGGAAACGAUAGCUAAUACCGCAUAACAAUGGAUGACACAUGUCAUUUAUUUGAAAGGGGCAAUUGCUCCACUACAAGAUGGACCUGCGUUGUAUUAGCUAGUAGGUGAGGUAAUGGCUCACCUAGGCGACGAUACAUAGCCGACCUGAGAGGGUGAUCGGCCACACUGGGACUGAGACACGGCCCAGACUCCUACGGGAGGCAGCAGUAGGGAAUCUUCGGCAAUGGGGGCAACCCUGACCGAGCAACGCCGCGUGAGUGAAGAAGGUUUUCGGAUCGUAAAGCUCUGCUGUAAGUCAAGAACGGGUGUGAGAGUGGAAAGUUCACACUGUGACGGUAGCUUACCAGAAAGGGACGGCGAACUACGU
rnacentral:rRNA from 1 species